rnacentral:lncRNA from 10 species
GAAAGAGCUUCUGCCCUGAGACUCAGAAAAAUAUUCUCCUGUGCUUUGGUUCAGUAUAGAUUUCUAAACCCUGAUCAUUGCUUAAGAGAUAUUCACUGAGGGUCCUACGUCUCUGCAAUUUGUGUAUGAAUAACAGAAUAAUUUCCCUCUUUUGUUUCGCCUUUCCUGUUCCUGAAUCUAAAUAAAGAUGGCUUUUUAGUAUUAAAAGUGGAAGAAAAUUACAGGUAAUUAUCUUUGACGGUAAAAACGCUGUAAUCAGCGGGCUACAUGAAAAAUUACUCUAAUUAUGGCUGCAUUUAAGAGAAUGGAAAAAAACCUUCUUGUGGAUAAAAACCUUAAAUUGUCCCCAAUGUCUGCUUCAAAUUGGAUGGCACUGCAGCUGGAGGCUUUGUUCAGAAUUGAUCCUGGGGAGCUACGAACCCAAAGUUUCACAGUAGGAAGGGGGAAAAAAGAAAAGAAAACAUUUUUCCUAAUGUAACAAUGCGAAUGCUAGAAAAUGACAAGACUGAUCGGUUUUAAACCAUUCUGAAGACUGACUGAGCGUGGAAGUUGCUCAACAAAAAAAGGAACGGGUAUAUUGACAGAGUCUUGCUCUAUUGCCCAGGCUGCAACUGGUGUGAUCUCGGCUCACUACAACCUCUGCCUCCUGGGUUCAAGCGAUUCUCCUGCCUCAAGCUCCCAAGUAGCUGGGAUUACAAGCAUGCACCACCAUGCCUGGCUAAUUUUUGUAUUUUUAGUGGAGACGGGGUUUCGCCACAUUGGCCAGGGUGGUCUUGAACUCCUGACCUCAAGUGAUCCACCUGCCUUGGCCUCCCAAAGUGCUGGGAUUAUAAGCAUGAGCCACUGCACCCAGCCUUAUACUGAACUUUCAAUGGGUUCAAUUCCACUAGGAGCAUAAAGGCCACUGCAUAUGAGUUGUGGAAAGAAGAGAUUAGAAGAAGGAAGAACUUGAGAUGAGUUCCUCCCUUCAACAUUCUGUCUCCUCCUACCUAGCAUCUUCUUUCUUUUAGUCUUUCUAGAAUGUCCAUCUGUUUUUGGCCAUUGCGGAGAGAGAAGCUGAGCUUUAAAGGAGUAGGAGCUUCAAAGGCGUAGGAGCUUCAAAAUUCUUGUUUCUUCAUGUUUGAUCACCCUUCUAAACCUGUCUUCUGUUCCUUCUGCUAUUCUUUUUUCUUAGAGCAUAGGAAAGGGGAGCUUUUAAAUUAAUACUUAAAGCAUGGAAAAAAAGAACUUGAGAAGAAAGUAAAACAAGGGAGAUGAGGCUAGUAAAGUAAGGAAAAUGAAGAGGAAGAGGAGGAAGGGUUAGCUUCUAAAUUCCAAGUCAAAUUGAUAUGGAACAGGCAAGCCGCUUGUCUUACUUAAACUUCAGAAAAGGAUCUGCUGAAACUUGAUAGAAAUGGAAAGGGAAAUCCUUGGGGUGGGGAACCUCCAAACAUUAGUAAUGAUAUUGAACAACUCAAAGUAUUGAGGAAAUCUGCAGGCUACAUGCCUGAAGAUUACCCAUGCAGAUAGACCAAAAGGAUUAGAAUUAUCUGUUGAUAUUAGUAAUAUUUAUUGACAUCUAGCUAGUAUUGGUAAUUUUAAGUUUUAGAUUAAUUUCUUUGGUAAUAGCUAUGAUAUAUUUUAUAGACAAGAAUUAUAUCUAUAGGCUUGCUAUCAUAGGCUCUUUUAAUCAGCAUUAAUUUAGUCUACUGAUUUUUAGCACAU